GAAAAUACCAAACUUGAUUAUUUGACGACCUUUUAAUUUCAAUGGUCUUCAUUCACUGUCUCUUUUCCUGGGGCCCAGAGGGCUGUGAAUUGAAAGGCUACUACUAAACCAUGGCUGGAGGGGCAGCUGCUUCCCAGGAUGAUCGAGUUUCCGUGGACAAAGGCUAGGAAGCUGCCCUGGGAAGGAAGGUGACAGCAUCUGCCUUCAAAGGGGCCGUCCAGAGCACCCAAGACAGGCUGUAUUCAUCUCUCCCAAGGGAACAGGCAGAAGGUGCCAGGAAGAUGGAGAGAGUGGGAGGCAAUUUCUGUCUUCAGAAACAAUUUUUGUCAUUGCUGAAAAUGACGAUGACCACGUGGAACAGUUACAUCUUGUACACCGACAGGGACUGGAUGGGGACGCUAAAGAUGUCUGUCAGGAAGCUGAGUCUGCAGCCCCACAAAGGACAUGCUACAGGAAAAAGGAAUCUGGAGAAUAUUCCUCACAGCAGAGUGUGAGAGCCCACCGGGGCUGUAGAAACUCCCCAAUGCAAUCUCUCUACAUUUCUCUCUUUUAGGGGAUGCAGAAAGCCCCAGAGUUUAAGUGAUUUGCCCAAAGCCAGGCUGUCCCAGCUGUUUUGAUCACCAGCCCCUCCAUUCUUUUCUGUCUUCAAACACAAUCAAAUCAGAUUCCCCAGGGAGGGCUGGGGAAUCUUACUUAUCCACAGACUUGGAAAAAGGAGAUUCCAGACCCUUCCUCAGACUCCUCUGGUAAUUUGUCUCUCUCUCUCUCAUUUUUUCUACAUUCUCAAUGCUCAUGGAGUUAACCCCAGGUGAUUCUCAAAUGGUACAGUCACGAAAGGGGAAGCUAAACAUCCUGUACUCCCAGGGACGGUCCCAAACAAGGAAGGACUGUCCCUCCCCAAAUGCCAGGAGUGUCCUCAUUGAGAACACGGCGAUCCAUGCUUUGCAGUUGGCUGACCUUGCUGAACUCAGAACGACAUUAACGCGGCAACACCAUCCUCCCCAAAAGGCUGCCCGGCACGCAGUGCAGACCAGGCUGCGCUCAGGGCCUUCUCCUCCCAGCUGUUUACCCCCAAACCUUGGCAGAGCAACAGAGGACUCCCAAGGCUUUGCCCAUUGGGAACAUAAUUUCUUGGAUGGAAGUCAACAAUCACGACAAUCUCCCAAGGCAUAAUCUAGACGCCUCACAAAGAUGUGCACUGGGAUCUCCCCUCAUCUAAGGAAUUAAGACACAUCUAAUAAGAGAUCUAAAAAGGAGGAUGUAUUAGAAUAAGUCUCAGGAGAAGUUGUGGAAUAGCGUCAUUACUUGUGAAAUUCAAAUCCAGCAGGGAACAAAAACCAGAAGAAUUAGCGUCCCUCGGGCAGUCACACCUACUCCCAGGACAGGAGAAUUGGCUCCAAGACAGAAGUCAUUAGACAUGGGUGCUGCUUCUGAGCACAAAGAAAUGACCACCUAGGAGAAAGCUGCCCAGAUGGUUUUAAAUAUGCAGCAGGACUGAGAACCACUGGUGCUGGAGGUUUCCAAUCGGGAAGAUCAGAGAAGGCACUGUGGAGGAGGAGGCUUCUGAGCUGGUCUUUGAGAGACGUUUUAAUGUGCCGACAGGAGGCACAGGACUUCCAGGCAGACAAGCACAGGCAAAAAAACAGUGGGAAGGAAAGAUGGGGCAAGAAUUAUGUAAUUCCCUAUGAGCUGAACAUACAGUGUGUGGUGGAGAGUGGUGAGGAGCUUGAGCCAGGUGCUAGAAGGCUGUGAAUGGCCAGAGAAAGGGACGUGCUUGAUCCAGGUUGGGGUGGGGACCACACCUUCCCUGCUCCUGAGCCUGCUGGACAGGCAGGUGGGCACUGGCUGGCCAUCCUGCAGAACAGGACACUGGCCGUGGAAAGGGGCCUGUGCUCCUUCUCUAGGUGCCGUGCCUAGCACAGAGCUUUACAAAGUGAGUUCUAGAAACUACUGGUCCGUUGAUGUUAAUGGGUUCACCACCACCCAAAAAAGGGGAGGGGGAGAGGCUAGGUUUUUUGUGUGUGUGUGUCGGGGGAGGGGUCAAUACACAACUGUUUUUGGUAAACACUGGAUUAAAAAUAAAACAUGUCUUUC